rnacentral:siRNA from 1 species
CUCCGCAGUUAAGCGUGCUUGGGC